AUCCAACUGACUAGCCCAAAAUAGGGCGAAACGAGAGUCCUGGAU
rnacentral:hammerhead_ribozyme from 1 species